GGAGAGAUGGCUCAGUGGCUAAGAGCACUGGCUGCUCUUCCAGAGGACCCGGGUUCAGUUCCCAGUGUCCCCA
rnacentral:tRNA from 1 species